GUCCGGAUGAGGCCAUCUCACCGAUGGUCGAAUCUGGGCUUCGCAAGGGGGCUUAAGUCGUAACAAGGUAGCCGUAGGGGAAUCUGCGGCUGGAUCACCUCCUA
rnacentral:rRNA from 1 species